CAGCGGACCCCGCCGCCGGCUCGGCCUGGGCGCUGCGGGAGCGAAUCUUCGGGCGGGGAACGCUCUCCUGCGCUCGGCUGCCCGGUCCCGUUGCUGCGGCGCUCGGUGUCGGCGGGGGAGCCGGGCCCCGCCGGCCGCGGGUCUGCAGCAAAAUCUAGCCAAUGGGGGCGGCGGGGCCGGGAGCGCCGCUUCCCGCCCGCGCGGAGCCGCCGCCAUUUCGCUGCGCUCCAACAAAGGGCCCGGCCGGGUAGGUGGGGGACCUGGACAUCGCGGUUGUAGCGGUGUGGUGAAUCGAUGUUGUCGAUUUGGGGAUGAUCACUGUGCGCAACGUUGCCCGCGGAAUACUUUUGGCAAUACCUUUGGGGUCUGUAACGGUUCCGGUGUUCCGGGAUAGCAGCAUUUUUUCAGGAGAAGAUAUAGGGGCGCCGUUCGCGCCACGAGUGCACUGCGCGGGAGCUGCUGCAGUGACUCCUGGAGGCACGACCGGUAUAGAAAGCCCUUAAACUUUGGGUGCCCGUACACGCAGUUUUGCUUUUCCUGACUUUGUAUUUAAUUUUUUCCCCGAAUAUGUAUUUAACGUAUUUUUAUUUUGCUUUUGAAGCAUCAUCUUAUAAAUGCUUUCCCAGAUAUUUAUUAUUUACCAUCUUUUUGGUUUUUUGUUGUCGUUUUGUCCCUGGGUAACUUUCAUGUAAUACACAGGUUUUAGAAUUUGUUUGAUUGCAAAGGUAUUUGUCUUUUUGUUUGAUCUUCCCCAUCUUUUCCUUAUUUCCUGAUAGGUCCCCAUUACUAGAUGCUUCCUGAUCAUAAAAUUUUUUUGCUUGGUUAUUUCACAGCCCUCUCCAUUUGAACUGUAACUUUGCUGCCCCCCCCCAUUUGUUCUUUUAUUCCAAGAAAAAGGGAUGAAUUUUUCUCCGUGUUUGGGGCUUCUAGGGUUUGGGUUUUUUGAUAUUUUUUUUUUUUCUAUCUCUCUGUAGCCUUCUAGUAUGUAUGUUAUUAAAUUCAGGUUUUUUGGCCACCAUUUUAAUAAGCCUGUUUCCAUGUGUAGAUAGCCAGCUUUGUUGUGUUUAUCAGCCUUUAUGAAUAUGACCCAGCAGUUCAACAGAAAUAGCAAAGAUGUAUUUAUCUUUGCAAAUCAACCCUAACAGCGGUCUUGGCAGAGAUGAACCUCCUCAGUUUAUAUUAGAAUCAUUAGUGUGCAAAGACACAGUUAUGAGUUCACAGACUGACUGAGAAAAAAAGAAUUGAUAUGCAGCCUUUUUUUCUCCCCCAUUUAUUGGUUACAGCAUAAAUAGAAUACAAGAGAGCUCAGUAACGCUUCUGCAUAACUAUAAAGUACAUUCUUCCCUCCUUGUUACUUCUCUCAGUACUUAAUAUAAAACACCUUUUCCCUGAGAGGUAAUAGUGUGUUUUCCCCUCUAUUUGUCUAGAUUCAAAGAACCUCUAUUGUUCUCUUUGGGACUGCUGAAAUAAUUAUUUUUUCUUUCUCAUCUGGCAUAUUUAUUUUUAAUCAUGCAUUAUUUGCACUUUUUUAUAGCCUUGCCUUCAAUUCACUUAAUGACUUCAAAUGCGUAACUGUUAAUGUUCUUCUAGAUUAUCCACUUAAUUCUCUUUUUGUGGUUUAGUGGGAACAGGUAUUCUUGCCUUGCAAGUUCCCCUAUUCACCUCCUGUGCCUAGUGUUGAUUGGCACUUUGUCAAAAAGUUUCAGUCUCCUUUAGCAUCCAUUUCUUGCUUCUUUUUAGUUCACUGGAUCUCUGUUUGUGGCAUUUAUUUUGCACUUAAAAUUUUGGCACAAAAUUUAACUUUUGCUUAUUUUUCAUCAUACUUCCUUGAUUCUCUCUUUAUUAGACUUACUUAAAUAAACAACUUUUCAUCCUUAUCCAGGGUCCGUUACUCCUGAAGAGUGACAACCCAGCUGCAGAACUGAAGCAGCUGCCAAUGUAGCUUGUUCCUGAGAUAAGCAAUAACUUAGCUUCAAAAGGCAUAAAACCCACAGAUUUUCUAACGCAUGAUUAUGACCAAUUUCACACCAAAUUUCUGUAGAUACCAUAGCAAUGUACAAACAUAUGUUGCUGCAUUACAGUGUGCUUGAGUUAUUUGAGGAAAUAUUAUUCUAUAUAUCACAAUUGUGAAAUAUAGGUUAUGUUUACCCAGUUUUAUCUUUUCCACACCAAACAACAGACAGUUUAAUUUUAGCAUAAUAUAUGUGUGGUGUCUUUCUAAACUUUUCACUGGCAGCUGUAGGUAUAAAGUAUCAGUGUGUAUAUUCUUGAAAUGUUGGGGUGCUCCUGAAAAUAGACAAAACUAAACCAAAAGGAGGGGCAUACAUCCUGUUUACAGGGCUCAAGCCUUUCAACGUUCUGGAAAAGAAGGAAGGAGCUCUGUGCAAUCUGCAUUGACUAAAUCUUGGAGUAACACUUCCAUUUCCUAAUACGACAUUUUGGUCUCAUUUUAUGGCUAGUGUUCAUUCAUCACUCCUGGUGGUUCAUUUACAUGAAUUCUUGACCGAGAACCAGCCAAGUGAGUAUAUGAAUUACCCAUUAAUUUUAUUGAUUUUUAUUUUUUUUACAGUUCAGCUUUUCUCAUUAAUUAAGACAGUAUGGGGAGGGGGAAAGUUCUGUUUCCCUCUUUCUGAUAAGGCAUUAGUUGAAAGAGCCUUGAGCUGUUUCCCAUGGUGUGGGAAGGCAGCCAGGGCACAAUGGACUGAAGGAGCAGGUUGGGUGAGGGCAGAAAGGAGUGAGAAAAGUGUACUCCUCUUUCUACUCUAGGUACGUUGUAGCAGAUCAUAAUGCUCCUGUCUUUCUCCAUCAUCUCUUAAUCUCUCACCCUGUUAUUCCUGCUAAUACUCCUGGCCUUCCUAAGAGACAACCAUCCCCUGAGGAAGCUGCUGAAAUAAUUAAAUUCUAAAAUCUGUUUUCUCUUCAGUGAUCUACUUUUCCUUGAAGUUUUCAGGAAACCUGUUUUGUUGUUAUCUGAAGGAGUCGCUGGUCUCUCAAUAGAUCUGCCAGCACAUGUAUUUUUGGGUCCUUAGGAGAAUGAAUAUCAAUUUACAAAGUCUCUGCAGUAUGGUUGUUUUUUUUAAAACUAGCUAAAAGUAUUGUGAUAGAAAUGUUGCAAUUUGGAGAUAUAGAUCUGCCCCACAUCCUAAAGCAGAAGCUUGUGCUAAACAUGCUGGUUUACUUAAGUGAGACAUUUGUGAGGGAAAGGAAUUAAACCGCGUCAUCUUCCUAGGGAAGUGUAAGUGUUCUCAGAGCAUAAUCACAUGAAAAGUAAAGUCCAGCUAAACACGGAGAUGGAUUUUUGCCUAGAAUGACAACCAACAUGAUGAAAAUAUUACAGACACUGUCUAAUUCCGUGGAAAAAAAAUAUUGCUGUACACUGCAUCACAAGCUUAUUACAGCACAAGCAAAAUUAAUGCUUUGUAUAGCCUACUCAUAUGGAGAUUCCAACCUGUCAGUCUCUGCCCAGGCCAUCUGCCAGAAGUAAUACAGGCCCAUCAACAUGACUGGUUGUUAUUCUCUCAAUAUAAAGGGGAAUCCCACAUUUUUCAUGUGACAGCUUGAUAUGCCCCUAAAUUAUUGCUGGAAUGUCUGAGUUUUGGUCAGCUUAGCCCUAGUUUUCGUUCUCAUUCACCUGGAAUAACCUGAUGGAGGACCUGGCACCUGGGACAAUGGCUCCCCAUGGGUCUUUCUGCCCAGUGAACAGCAGGAUUCCUUCUCGGGUUGCAUUUGCCUCUGAACUCUACUUGCAACUUUGUACUGAAGGCAACAGCUGGUGCAUCCAAAGACACUUUCCUCCAGUACAAGCUAUAAAUCAGCAUGGAUCAUGGCAGCUCAUGCCCCAGAAACAGUGGGGUCCACCUCUGACAGAGCAUUAUAAACCUCACUGAAAUCAUAUAUGUACUUAUUAAUUACUGAUGCUUAAAAGUGUUACCUUUUCAUGCAUUGAUGUGUUUACACAGUUACCUCCAGUAAUGCUUGCUGGUUGUCCCCAAAAUCACAGUCAAGGACAAGGGAUAGCCCAGGAUGAAAGCAAAAAAAACCCCAACCAAACAAACACGUAGGAGAAAGUUACAAAGUCCUUUACAAGGACUAUUUCCCUAUUUCCCAACCCUUACCCCCCAUUUUUCAGUGUAUGGUAAUGAAAUAGUAAUCUUAUUAGUAUUAUCUUGAUAAUUGUUAUCCUAUGCUGCUGCUUUUCUGUAUGAUACUGUCCUUUUACACAUCCAGCAUGUUAAAUGUGCUUGCAUGCACACAAACACAUUCAAGCAUCUAGUAUGAUAUUUUCUGUUGAAAUGCCCACCCUAAAGAAGCCUUAGAGCUGCUCUGAUGUGACUGCAAGGUCCUUCAGCAUUUAGCAGUGCGUGCACACACAUUGAGUACCUAGGGCUAGCAACUAAUGGAAACUUCACCACCUAUAGAGACAUGUGGACUUAGACUUCUGGGUCACAAUGUAAGGUGGCAAAUCCAACCAUUCUUUUGUUGAUGAACAAAACCUCCGUUUGCCUGAUGUGCAACACUGAUCUUCCUGUGACCUUUAUAGCAUGCACAUCUUGGGCUUUCUAAACUUCAGUAGUUUUGGAUGUCGUUAAAUGAAAAUAAACUUCAGCCUUCUCACUUAUUCACUUUGUUAAACCAUAGAUUUUAGGUUCACUGCGUGUCCUCCUGCCCCUGAUCCGUGAGUCAAUCUUCAAACUGUCUCACCACCAUCUUCUACGUUCACUUCAACCUCCAGGUUGAGCCUAAUAAAAAAAAUCCUCCCACAUCUGAAAACAAAUAAAUAACUAAACAAACCAUUUGUUCAAUGCUCAGAAGCACUUCAGUGAAAACUGAAUAUCAACAAUCGCUAGAUGAGGAACAGAGAGCAAAACAGAGGAUAUUGUAUCUUUUUACCAUUGUAGCAUUUUGUGCAAUAGUUGCACCUUGAGUGCUGUGCCCAUUUCUGGCCUCCAAAUAAUAAUAGCUAAAAAAGAUUUAGUGCAACUGGAAAAGAAGGUUUGAGAAAAGUGGUAAAGAUGAUUUGAGGUCUGAAAUGUAUUUUGUAAUAAGUAUACUAGGACACUUUCAGAACAGAGAAAACUACUGGGUGAAGAUGUUCUUGCUUAUCUUUACUAUUCACAAGUUAUUUGUUAAAUGUAUCAGACUUAGUUAGUUUGAUAAUUAUAAAGUUAGUUACCAACCAAAAGGUUACUGAUGCCAGAAAGACUGCCUAAAUAUCAUAGGCAGUUUCCUAAAGUAAAUGGACUCCUUAUCUCUAUAGGCUUUUUCCAAAUGAAAGAGAAGAGCUGAAGAUGCAGAGUGACAGGGUGAGGAAGGAGCACCUCUCUCCUCAACAGAAACCAAUUCUGGAGUGCACAGCUACUUGCAUUACCGCAAGCACUUCCUAAUACUGGUGGGUCCGUUCCUCUCUCAGCAGCGAAGCCUGCAGAAUCAAAAUGGAAAUCAAAGCUGGAAGUCAUACCUCUCCUCAUUUUUUUGUUUGUGGCUUGGUUUUGUUUUUGGUUUGUUGUUUUGUUUUGUUUUUUUAACCCCGGGCAGCAGCCACAGUAUCAAUAAAGCACAGUUAAAAUAAGACCGACCGUGGAUGCAAGAAGCACUGGAGAUAUUGACAGAACGCAGGCUGGUUUUACCAGCAGCCAGGGCGAGGUGCUCCCCAUUUCACCGCGGUGUCAUCCGGCAGAUCCACCUGCCUUGCCUGCCAGUUAACGACAUGGAGAGGACUCGGGGGGGAGAGGGGUGGGGGUGGCAGAGAAUGUAACCUGGGGGAGACAGAGGGGAAGGGAGGGAGAGGAGGAGGAGAAGGCAGAGGGGGAAGCCGCUUCCUGGGCAGGAUUGGUCAGGAAUUGCUGCAGCUCGGGUGCAGCGGCCCCGCGCCUCCCCGCCUCUCUCCCCAGCCUCGGCUGGUGUACGGGGGCGGGGUGGGGGUGGGGUGGUGGAGCACCCCAGCCCGACCGACACCCCCCCCCCCCGUUACUCGGCUGUGCCACGGUAACGUUAGAGAGAUUCUCAGAAGAUUUAAAGAGAAAGAUGGAAAAGCACUGAGCUACGGUUUACAGCAGUCUGCUUUGCUGUUAAUACCAGGUAUACUGGGAGCGUUUAUUGUUACCUGCAAAUGCAGAUUUCUGUUGGAUUUCUACAGCUCUAGUGCAACUGGCUUUCAGAUUUUCAUUCAAGUUUCCUGAAUGUCAGCAUCAGUGCCUCUGAAAUUAUUGGACACAUGUGAGUUUCUUUCAUAUUUACCAAAGUCUAAAUUGAUCCUGUUCGGUGUCAGAGAAAAACACAAUAGUAUCGAUACUUUUUUUUUAAAAAAACACUUCAUUAAUAUCUAAGCAGGUUUGUUCUGAAGUCAAUAUGAAAAGUAAAUUACUAAUGAUGUUACUCAAAAGGUUUCUAUACAUUACAACAGAUUUAUAAGAUAUUACUAUUUUAUUUUGGUUUGCUGUGUAUGGUCACAGAAAGGUACUAAAGGACUAAAAAUCCAAGUGAAAAGAUUUGAAAGUAAUUUAUGAAAAGACCUACAAAUGUUUAUAACCUUUCCAUAGACUGCAUUACAUAAAUGACCGAACAAGUUUUACAAAGAACAGCCCACAGCCUCAUGGAGAUACACUUCUGUUGACCUAGGCACAUACACCAACUUGCCUACAUUUUUGGUAAAUAUGGUAGCCUAAAGCAACUUCUCCUGAAAGGCAAGAGGAAAAAUAAUUUAAAAAUAACAUCAAAGCUUCCUUUCAGACUGUAGAAGACUGCUUAGUAUCAAGGGAGUUUGAACAAUCUAUUUAUCCUGUCCACAAUCAGGUCAUUACUGAGCAGCCCAGCAUAGUCUUUUUCAAGAAAAACGGGAAUAAGAAUUUUUGAAGGAAAAUAAUAAUUUGAAGGCUUUUGCCAUACACUACUGUCACUAUAACAAAGUCAACAGGAAAGUGAACGUCCUUAUAUUACUUUACUUUAUUUGUCUGCACACUUGGGAAUGCUUCUGUGGGAACUUCUGCUACGGAACAUUGUCUUUUAUUUAAAUUUUAUUUUCUUUAAAUUGUAUUUUCUUGCACAUUAUCUUCUAGUGCUUUACAGAAAAGCAGAGAACUAUUAAGUAACUGCAGGUUGAAUAACAUUCUUUGAGUGCAAGCUGUCUGAGAGAUUGCACUACCUAUGCUAUAAGCCAGUACUUUAAAGCAUAACAGUCUAUUUUGUGAGGACUUAAAGACCAAAAGUAAUUUAGGUCAUCUGUGACACUACACGUCUUUUCAUGACUGCCAGCAUCUCUGAUGCACUCUUCUUAAAUGUAAAGCCUUUCUCCUUUAUGAGAAUUGAGGCUGCCUGAACAGUUGGAAAUAAAUUUAGGAAGGAAACCAGAUUAAUUAGAAAUCAAUAUGCAAUGAAAUAAAACAUUUGUCCUUUUGAAGAGAAAUUCUUUAACUCUUACCUGUCAUGUAAGUAAAUAAGUUAUACGAUCAGUUUCUUCUAUUUUAAAAUAUACAAAACUUUUGUUUCACUAUGGUAUGCAGACAGAUGUGUUCAUUUAUAACAAGCACAGUUACAUGAGGUAGAAUAACAUAUCGCCCUACUACAUAAAAUGUGAAUGUGCUGAUCAGGAGAAAUAAAGAUACGCAGUAAUUGUAGGCAAAUAUUCCAGUCAUAGUUUAGCUGAAGAAAAAAGAGGAUUUGGUAUCCAGAACUCAUCAGUUUUCCUGUACUAAUAAAAACAUACUAAAAAACAUCUUGAAAAUGCUGUUGGUGGCAUAGAUAACAGAACAUUAGUCAUCAAAUACUAUAGAAGGAAACCGAGCUCAUUACAUGCACCGUCUCAAGGGGGAAACAUGGCCAGAAAGGCAGAGAACAAAACGGUAAGAUUAAUGAAUUACAACUACUGAGUGUAACUAGUUUCUAGUGAAUAGAGAAGAAAACAACCGAAGAAAAGAACUUUAGACUGUAUUUUAAUCUGCCUGUAUCUCAUUUGUAAAUAAAGUUAAAAUACUUGUGUUUUCAA